GAAUACUUUUAAAAUCCUUAAAGGAUUUUUGUCUUUGGCUUCAUCUUUGCUCCAUGUUUUUCUUGCAGGGCCCUGGAUUUGAACUUGGCUUGGAAGUCAUUGUUUUAUUCUGGUAUCAAAUACCAUCUGAAGGGGCUGGGGAUUUUCAAAACUAUUGAGUCUGACUACUUUUAUUUAAUAGUUCUUUCUUCAAUUUAUCUGUCUCCUCUGAACAUUUUACUAUAAGAAGCAAGAAAAAUUCAGGUGACGUCUUCAAGACUUUGGUUAAGAUAUUAGAUAGACACACCCAGUUCGUUUAGGUGCAUUUGCUGUACUCCAUUUGAAUGUUAUUCCCCUGCAUAACAAGAAUCCCCUUUCUUACCACUUCAGUAAAGUAUGUGUCACUGCCCUGUAAGCCCUCACCAGCAACUUCUUCAAGUCUCACAUUCCAUGGCAUGUUCUAGGCAUUUUGACUUUUUACAAACAUUUUCCUGAAAACUCAUUGCUCAGUCCCAAAGCCACUUCCAUAUUUUAGGUGGUGGUCACUGCUACUUAGUGAGACCAAAAUCUGUAUUGGUUGUUUGUAAUUACAUAACAAAUUACCAGAAAGCCUUUGAUAUCUUACAACAUCUACGAGAUACAGUCAAGAUUCCAGGUACAGCUUAGCUGGAUGCCUUUGCCAUAGUUCACUUAUGCAGUUACAGGCCUUGUUCCCUCACUACAUGGGCUUCUUGACUUGGAUGCCUCAUGACAUGGAAUCUGACUUCCCCUGGGGUAAGCAAGCUAAGAAAAAGCAAGAGACCAUUCAACGACACUAUUGUGCACCCAAGAUGGAAGCCACAGUCCAGUUUCAGAAGUGAUAUCCUGUCCUUUCUGCCAUAUUCUAGCUGUUAGAAGUCCUUCAUUUUCAGUGCUGCAUAAUAUUCCACUGUGUGAUCAUACCAUAAUUUAUCCAUUCUAUUG